rnacentral:rRNA from 1 species
GAUGAACGCUGGCGGCGUGCCUAAUACAUGCAAGUCGAGCGAACAGAUGAGGAGCUUGCUCCUCUGACGUUAGCGGCGGACGGGUGAGUAACACGUGGAUAACCUACCUAUAAGACUGGGAUAACUUCGGGAAACCGGAGCUAAUACCGGAUAAUAUAUUGAACCGCAUGGUUCAAUAGUGAAAGACGGUUUUGCUGUCACUUAUAGAUGGAUCCGCGCCGCAUUAGCUAGUUGGUAAGGUAACGGCUUACCAAGGCAACGAGGCGUAGCCGACCUGAGAGGGUGAUCGGCCACACUGUAACUGAGACACGGUCCAGACUCCUGCGGGAGGCAGCAGUAGGGAAUCUUCCGCAAUGGGCGAAAGCCUGACGGAGCAACGCCGCGUGAGUGAUGAAGGUCUUCGGAUCGUAAAACUCUGUUAUUAGGGAAGAACAAAUGUGUAAGUAACUAUGCACGUCUUGACGGUACCUAAUCAGAAAGCCACGGCUAACUACGUG